rnacentral:rRNA from 1 species
CUGAACCAGCCAAGUAGCGUGAAGGAUGACUGCCCUAUGGGUUGUAAACUUCUUUUAUAAAGGAAUAAAGUCGGGUAUGCAUACCCGUUUGCAUGUACUUUAUGAAUAAGGAUCGGCUAACUCCGUGCCAGCAGCCGCGGUAAUACGGAGGAUCCGAGCGUUAUCCGGAUUUAUUGGGUUUAAAGGGAGCGUAGAUGGAUGGUUAAGUCAGUUGUGAAAGUUUGCGG